AGUUUGAUCCUGACUCAGAUUGAACGCUAGCGGCAUGCCUUACACAUGCAAGUUGAACGGCAGCACGGGGGCAACCCUGGUGGCGAGUGGCGAACGGGUGAGUAAUGCAUCGGAACGUGCCCAUUGAUGGGGGAUAACUGCGCGAAAGCGUUGCUAAUACCGCAUACGACCUACGGGUGAAAGCAGGGGACCGCAAGGCCUUGCGUCGAUGGAGCGGCCGAUGUCGGAUUAGCUUGUUGGUGAGGUAAAGGCUCACCAAGGCGACGAUCCGUAGCUGGUCUGAGAGGACGACCAGCCACACUGGGACUGAGACACGGCCCAGACUCCUACGGGAGGCAGCAGUGGGGAAUCUUGGACAAUGGGCGAAAGCCUGAUCCAGCAAUGCCGCGUGUGGGAAGAAGGCCUUCGGGUUGUAAACCACUUUUGGCAGGAAAGAAAUCGUUUGCGAUAAUACCGCGAAUGGAUGACGGUACCUGCAGAAUAAGCACCGGCUAACUACGUGCCAGCAGCCGCGGUAAUACGUAGGGUGCGAGCGUUAAUCGGAAUUACUGGGCGUAAAGCGUGCGCAGGCGGUUGGAAAAGAUAGAUGUGAAAUCCCUGGGCUCAA
rnacentral:rRNA from 1 species